GCAGUGAAAUAUAGCACGCCUAAUAUGACUAUUUGACAAUCGAUGCCCAGGCAGUAGUAGUACAAGGAGAUAUUCAGGCAGGUUCUGGAAUCCGAGUGAAAGUGAAUUUGAAAAUAAACCUCAAUCCGAGUGAAUUUGGAUUUGGUGUUCUGAAAUCCGAACUUUUUGUUCAUUUUAGAACUCGUUUUUGAUUCACCGCAAAAAUGAACUUAACAGCUGAUAGCUGUCAAUUUACCCAAAAUAAAUAACAAUAUUUUAAGAAAAAUGAGUGCAUUAGCAAUAUUGUCGGUUAUUUUACGUGAAAAUGAAAGGAAUACAGAAGAAGUUUACAGUAGGAGGAUACUACGUGACCAUUGCAACCCAUUGGAUGUGCCUGAACAAGUUUUCGUGUCGAACUAUUGCGUCAACAAGGAUGCGUUUCUUGAAUUGUUGAACGUUGUUGCUCCACAUAUGUAUAAAGGGCUCAUCAAUUCCUGCGCAACUGCAACUGGCAGCCACACUGAGGUUUUUGGCGGAAGGUGGCUUCCAAAAGGCAGUGGGAAAGGAUGUUUGCAUAGCAAUGGGUCGGAGCACAGUUGCAAAAGUCAUAAAACGUGUGUUGAACAUUUUGGAAAAAUAUAUUUGCCCAAGGUGGAUCAACUUAAUUAUGACAACAGAAGAGCAGAAUCAAUCAAAAAUACAUUUCCAUCAAAAAUUUGGUAUUCCCGGUGUUAUUGGUUGCAUCGACGGUACCCACAUACGAAUUACAAAGCCGCAUAAGGACCCCAACCUAUUUUACAACAGAAAGGGAUUUUUUAGCAUCAAUGCCAUGAUUAUAUGUGAUUAUAAUAUGGCAAUAAAGGCAGUUGGUGCUCGCCGGCCUGGCUCGAGUCAUGAUGCCCUUAUUUGGAGUGUAAGUAGUGCUCGUUCAUAUUUUCAAUCCUACUACGAAAAUGGCAUACGUGGCUCUUGGCUUUUGGGUGAUGCUGGGUAUGCUCUUGAACCUUAUUUGUUCACUCCAGAGAACGUACAAUAUAGAGAAGGUUCAACUACGGACAAGCGUGUGAACUGUCAAGAGCCAUGAAUUUUCCAUUAGUGGAUUUCACCACUUUUGGCUCGGCAGGAGAAAUUUUAACAGAAAUGAGUGAACAGAGCUGAGCAUUGAAUGAAAAUUAUGCUCAGAAAUAUACAUUGCUUUUACAGACGCAUGUUGGUCUUUUGGCUUAUAUUUUAAUACUUUUACAUGCUAUCAUAUCAAUUGGUAUGAAUACAAUUUUGCGAAUUUUUGUGAAUUCAUGCAAAAUUGAUAACAUUAUUGUUAAAUUAUGCUAUUUUCAUGGUAAUAUUUGUAGUUAAUGUCCAAAUAAAAGCUACUUUUUAAACAUUCCUUAUCUUUGAUAAUAUUAUAUAAUUUCGUAUGCAUGUACAUAUACAUAUGUAUAUGCUAUAUAUGCCCAGCAAACACUGUCUCUAACGUUAGAGAAAAAGCUAGAUUUUACAUUAGAAUUCUAAUAUAGUUUUCUAAUGUUUCUCGAAUCGAAUUCAAGCUUAGAGAACAACAUUAGAAUUUGAUUAUAGAAUGAUUAGAGAAACACUCGAAAUGCACUAUCGAUAUAAAUGAUAGUUAUCGAAUACAAUAAGUGUCUGCUGAGUCGUUCAUUCCUAGUGUCAAAUAAAAAUAAUACGUGCGAAAAGAAAGUGCUUUAAAUUUUUUUAGACGGUUAUUAUUAUUACAAAGUUACGGAACAUGCGUAUUCACUCGGAAUUCAUUUUAGAAAAAGUGUGGAAUUGAAAUUGUGAAAGUGAAACACAGAACACCAAAUGCCGGAUUGAAAACGAAUUUUGUUUGAUAUUCACUCGGAAGUGAAUUCCAGAACCUGCCUGAUUGCUACGUUAUUUUAUGUAUAAAAAUGAUUCGUAUGAGAAUGGUGGUAUUGCAAAUACGGAAAAUCGGAGCACUGCCACGCUUACAAAUUGCCAUUAAGCGAAAACUAUAACUACGCUAGAUAUUAUAGUAAAGAACAAAAAGAAAAAACUACAGAGCCAAUUUCAACCAAAUUUAGUGCAAAUUAUUAUUCAGACAUCUUUUAUUUACGGUAGAAAAAUGGCGGAAAUUGAACUAAAACUAUAUAAAUUUUAAUCGAUUUUUUGAAAUUGCAGUAUAUAAAUCCAGCAACAAUAAAGUUUGAAGAAUAGAACUGUACAAAUAAUACCUUCAAUAAUAUACAUCAGUAUUAGCUCAAUAAAAUAUCUCAAUUAGCAUUGUGUCAUCCGGUAGUAAUUAUGGAUAUUGUAUGUACCUUCCCACAGGACUAACAUGAUGAAUACAGUAAGUUAGGAUAGUGAGCUUCAUACAAGGUGCUUUCCAAAGUAAACAAGACUUUUUGAAUCUAGCGCCCCCUGGUGGCGCCAUCUAAAUUUCAAUUGGUGCGUUAGAAUCUGCUAUCGUUAUCGAUUGUCCAGUGAGAUUUCAUGACAUUUCAUUGAUUGGAAGUGAAGUUAUUGCGUUUUAAGUUUCAGUAUGUUUGUGUUAUCGUUGCGAAAAUGAGCUUCGAAUAAAGAGCCAACAUUAAAUUUUGUUUUAGAAUUGGUAAAGCUUUUGCCGAAGCGUUUCAAUUGAUGAACCAAAUUUAUGGCGAUGAUUGCCUAUCCCGUAGCAGAGGGCACGAGUGGUUUCAACCUUUUCAAAGUGGUCGUAAGGAUAUAAAUGACGAUCCACAUGUGGGCCAAAAAGGCUUGCACCGGCAUACUGGCGGCCAUACCGAGCCAAAAACUGUAUUGAAGCAGAAGGAGACUAUUUUGAAUAAAAUAAUUGAUUUUGCCGAAAAACUCAUUUGUUCUGUUUUUUUUUAAGUACUGUUUAC